UUAUACAGUAAAUAUCAAUAAAAAUUCAAUUACAUUGUGAAAUUGCAUUUUAUUAACCAAGAAACAAUUGAAGUAGUAACUCGCUCCACUGACUAUAUUCAAUAACAUGAAGUUAACCACAUUUUAUUUUAUGUUAUUGGUAAUAAAUCUUGCGUAUUGUGCGCUGUACAAGUCGCGUGAUAAUGAAAUUGGUGCUGGUGAGAGCAAAACGACAUUAGCAGUACAAAUACGACGUAUCUUGUCUCAGCUGAAUGCAAAGCACGGUGAAAAUAAUUUUAAAUCAAUAUUGAAGCAAUUAAAAGAUAUUUAUCAAACAUCCUCUACAACAGAAAGCUCUAAAUGUGGAAAACACAAAUAAACUUUUAUUUAAAUGUUGCAUAUGUACCAGCGGUAAGAGGAGAUUUUAUAUUUAUUAUAGGACUUAUAAUUUUCAAUAGUAGCUAUCUCCUUGUGGUUCUUACACCAUAGACUACUGCUCUACUGCAUCUACUAUCUAAUCUACUGCUGUAUAGCUAGAUUGCAUAAAAGACAGAAUAAUAAUAUUUAUAAGUUCAGCCAUAAAGUAUUUAAUAGUAAUAAGUUUCUAUUGCAAAAGUUUCUCGAAGAAAAUAAAAGUCAAUGUCACAAAAUUAUCUUUCAAUCUACUUUGAUAAUGUUAAAUAAAUUUAAAAAGAAUUAAAAAAAACGCAAAAUGUAUUCAAAUGAAUUUCGACCUUAUUUUAUUUUAAUUAAAAAAGAAGAAGAAAAGGGUGAAAAAUUCGCGAGAAUAACGAUGGAAGUGAAACAUCGUGCGACAAAGGAACCCAUUAAUCCCUUCACCAAGAAAACUGUAUACACACAAACAUAUCCCACAAAACUAAUCCCGGCUGCCCCUAGAAAAGCCUGCUGCUACUAUUGUACCGCCUAAUCCAAAGCUGAAAUUAUGCAAGUAAACUCUGAAGAUAAUUUUCUGAAAAAAAGGAAGAGGCCUCUCGUCCACAUUCUUGGGAUCCUGUGGAGUAGAUCGUUGGGUAAUAUCUUAGGCUCCUCUAUGAGACUGAUCUCCUGCCACAAAAUGUCGAGCAACAUGUAUAUAUUUUGUUUGCAAUCAUAUUAUCAUAUAUCAGACUAUCUGUCGAUACAAUUAUGUGAUGAGAGUUUUGUGGCCCGUAGUAAAAAAGAAAGUAUGGAAGAUGUUUUUGAUGACGCCGAUUUUUGAUACCUGAUAAAAUUUUAUUGCAAUAUAUUUAUGAGUUUAU